UUCAACUACCCCGCCCUGCCUAACGGCUGAGGACGGGGAUUGCUAAAAACAAAUUUAGCAGCGCAAGUGUUGAAUAGCCCACUAAGACUAAUCCUGAUACGCACUUCCGAAUGCUUCCCCAGUUCGGAUUAUCUGCAAGACUUUUUGUUAAGUCGUUGGGUAAAGCCAAGUCAUUCUGGAUUAGUUGGGCGAGGGGACUUAACACUUUACUCGGAGGU
rnacentral:sRNA from 1 species